ncrna:Pongo pygmaeus (Bornean orangutan) microRNA ppy-mir-1299 precursor
CCUCAUAGCAGUGUUCUGGAAACCUACGUGAGGGACAAACAUUCAGACCACAGCAGGUGUGUUCUGGAAUCCUAUGUGAGGGA